rnacentral:tRNA from 1 species
UCCCUGGUGGCUCAGAGGGUAAAGCAUCUGCCUGCAAUGUGGGAGACCUGGGUUCAAUCCCUGGGUGGGGAA